rnacentral:rRNA from 1 species
GGCCGUCGUCAGUUCGUACUGUGAAGCAUCCUGUUAAGUCAGGCAACGAGCGAGACCCACGCCCACAGUUGCCAGCGUACGUCUCUGGAGUGACGGGUACACUGUGGGGACCGCCGCUGCUAAAGCGGAGGAAGGAAUGGGCAACGGUAGGUCAGUAUGCCCCGAAUAUCCCGGGCUACACGCGAGCUACAAUGGUUGGUACAAUGGGUAUCUACCCCGAAAGGGGACGGGAAUCUCCUAAAACCAAUCUUAGUUCGGAUUGAGGGCUGCAACUCGCCCUCAUGAAGCUGGAAUCCGUAGUAAUCGCGUUUCAACAGAACGCGGUGAAUACGUCCCUGCUCCUU